AACUGAUGGCGACCGGCGCACGGGUGAGUAACACGUAUCCAACCUGCCGAUAACUCGGGGAUAGCCUUUCGAAAGAAAGAUUAAUACCCGAUGGCAUAAUUAGACCGCAUGGUCUUAUUAUUAAAGAAUUUCGGUUAUCGAUGGGGAUGCGUUCCAUUAGGCAGUUGGUGGGGUAACGGCUCACCAAACCUUCGAUGGAUAGGGGUUCUGAGAGGAAGGUCCCCCACAUUGGAACUGAGACACGGUCCAA
rnacentral:rRNA from 1 species